GGGUGAGUAACACGUGGAUAACCUACCUAUAAGACUGGGAUAACUUCGGGAAACCGGAGCUAAUACCGGAUAAUAUAUUGAACCGCAUGGUUCAAUAGUGAAAGACGGUUUUGCUGUCACUUAUAGAUGGAUCCGCGCCGCAUUAGCUAGUUGGUAAGGUAACGGCUUACCAAGGCAACGAUGCGUAGCCGACCUGAGAGGGUGAUCGGCCACACUGGAACUGAGACACAGUCCAG
rnacentral:rRNA from 1 species